rnacentral:rRNA from 1 species
UAGGGAAUCUUCGGCAAUGGGGGGAACCCUGACCGAGCAACGCCGCGUGAGUGAAGAAGGUUUUCGGAUCGUAAAGCUCUGUUGUUAAGGAAGAACGAGUGUGAGAAUGGAAAGUUCAUGCUGUGACGGUACUUAACCAGAAAGGGACGGCUAACUACGUGCUAGCAGCCGCGGUAAUACGUAGGUCCCGAGCGUUGUCCGGAUUUAUUGGGCGUAAAGCGAGCGCAGGCGGUUAGAAAAGUCUGAAGUGAAAGGCAGUGGCUCAACCAUUGUAGGCUUUGGAAACUGUUUAACUUGAGUGCAGAAGGGGAGAGUGGAAUUCCAUGUGUAGCGGUGAAAUGCGUAGAUAUAUGGAGGAACACCAGUGGCGAAGGCGACUCUCUGGUCUGUAACUGACGCUGAGGCUCGAAAGCGUGGGUAGCAAACAGG